rnacentral:rRNA from 1 species
CAAAUGACUCUCGGCAAUGGAUAUCUCGGCUCUUGCAUCGAUGAAGAACGUAGUGAAAUGCGAUACUUGGUGUGAAUUGCAGAAUCUCGCGAACCAUUGAGUCUUUGAACGCAAGUUGUGCCCGAGGCCUUGUGGUCGAGGGCACGCCUGCUUGGGCGUCAUGG